AACGGUUUAAUUUUCCGCGUGUAAAAUCUAACUCAUUUCGUCAAAUAGCUUGUUUAUGCCGGUGCUGUACCUACAUGUGUGUUCGAAUGCCAUAUUCCCCAUAACCAUCUGUUUUCACACUCAACGUGGCUAUCUAGGAAUGGACAAAAUCAUUAACACUUAAUCUCCUGAAACAGUCAUAACUCAUUUAGAAUUAGAGUUCUGAGACACUGCUACGAUGCUAAUAAGGGCCUUUUUUGUGUGUUUUUGACGACCGUUAACAAUCUCGCGUCAUACAAGCCAUCAGCCCUAUUUAAGCAAAAAAUCCGUGAAUUCUUGUCAUUGUGUGUAUAGUUUUUGAGCUGUUAGUGGCUCAUUAGUUUUUUGGUUUCGUCCGAAGUCAGGACGCUUCGACGCUUCAGUUAAAGUUCUUUGUGUUCGUGCUAAAAUCUCACGUAAUAUUACACGUGAGUCCGAGGGAUAUAUUCCAAUCUUGACCAUUUUUCGACAACAGCAACCCCCAGCAGGCUGGAUACCGGCUGUUCAUUGUUCAUCUUUAAAGUCGCCGCAAGACGACUAGCCAUCCACCCUUCAAACAUAAGGUCAGUCAGUAAUUUAUUUUGUGUCGCGUGCCAUCUAAAUAAACAGAUGAGGCACUUUGAGUUGUUUGAUCUGAAAUCGUGUCAAUGACCUAUUGAGUGUUAGGAGAUUCCUUUACGUGAUUAAAGAACUUUCUUAAUUUUUGCAAAUAUAGUUCCAUUGUGAACUAUUAACGGACAAUUUUUUUAUUUAAAACAUUUUUUUGUGUAUUUUUUGUAAAUAUAUAAAUAAUAGGUUAUUGUAGAGUAAAACGAAACAUGAAAAGCUUUUUAUUGGUUUCACAGUGGACAAUGGUCUAAUUAACUUCAUUCAUAAAAUUUAGCUUAUUUAGACAUUAUCUUUCAUUUUUUUAAAGUUUCUUAAAUAUUGCGUUUGAUCAGUUAGUACAAUUAGAGACCACGGUCCCAUUAAUAGGAUAGUAUACAUAAUGCAUGAUAUUCUGUAAACACCGUCAAGAGUAGGGACAUGUAAUAUAUUAUAAUAUAUAUUAAAACUAUUUAGUAUCGUAAAUAAAGUUUUUUUGAGA
rnacentral:misc_RNA from 1 species